rnacentral:rRNA from 1 species
AUUAAACGCUGGCGGCAUGCCUUACACAUGCAAGUCGAACGGUAGCGCGGGGCAACCUGGCGACGAGUGGCGAACGGGUGAGUAAAGCAUCGGAACGUGCCCUGGAAUGGGGGAUAACGUAGCGAAAGUUACGCUAAUACCGCAUAUUCUGUGAGCAGGAAAGCAGGGGAUCGCAAGACCUUGCGCUGAUUGAGCGGCCGAUGUCAGAUUAGCUAGUUGGUGAGGUAAAAGGCUCACCAAGGCGACGAUCUGUAGCGGGUCUGAGAGGAUGAUCCGCACACUGGAACUGAGACACGGUCCAGACUCCUACGGGAGCAGCAGUGGG